rnacentral:rRNA from 1 species
UACAGAGGGUGCAAGCGUUAAUCGGAGUUACUGGGCGUAAAGGGCGCGUAGGCGGUUAUUUAAGUUUGAUGUGAAAUCCCUGGGCUUAACCUAGGAACUGCAUUGAAUACUGGGUAACUGGAGUACUGUAGAGGGUAGUGGAAUUUCCGGUGUAGCGGUGAAAUGCGUAGAGAUCGGAAGGAACACCAGUGGCGAAGGCGGCUACCUGGACAGAUACUGACGCUGAGGCGCGAGAGCGUGGGGGAGCAAACAGG